rnacentral:rRNA from 1 species
AAUAGAUACCCGGGUAGUCCACGCCGUAAACGAUGUCUACUAGCCGUUGGGAGACUUGAUUUCUUAGUGGCGCAGCUAACGCAAUAAGUAGACCGCCUGGGGAGUACGGCCGCAAGGUUAAAACUCAAAUGAAUUGACGGGGGCCCGCACAAGCGGUGGAGCAUGUGGUUUAAUUCGAUGCAACGCGAAGAACCUUACCAGGUCUUGACAUCCUAGGAACUUUCCAGAGAUGGAUUGGUGCCUUCGGGAGCCUAGAGACAGGUGCUGCAUGGCUGUCGUCAGCUCGUGUCGUGAGAUGUUGGGUUAAGUCCCGUAACGAGCGCAACCCUUGUCCUUAGUUGCCAGCACGUAAAGGUGGGAACUCUAAGGAGACUGCCGGUGACAAACCGGAGGAAGGUGGGGACGAUGUCAAGUCAUCAUGGCCCUUACGACCUGGGCUACACACGUGCUACAAUGGAACGCACAGAGGGCAGCAAAGGCGCGAGCUGGAGCGAAUCCCACAAAACGUUUCGUAGUCCGGAUCGGAGUCUGC